ACGGGGCGCAGCAGGCGCGAAAACUUUACAAUGCAGGAAACUGUGAUAAGGGAACCCCGAGUGCCCGUAUACGCGGGCUGUCCGGGUGUAUAAAAAGCAUCUGAAGAAAGGGCCGGGCAAGACCGGUGCCAGCCGCCGCGGUAAUACCGGCGGCUCGAGUGGUGACCACUUUUAUUGGGCUUAAAGCGUUCGUAGCUGGACUCUUAAGUCUCUUGGGAAAUCCCGCGGCUCAACCGUGGGGCGUUUAAGAGAUACUGGGAGUCUAGGAACCGGGAGAGGUAAGAGGUACUUCGGGGGUAGAAGUGAAAUUCUGUAAUCCUCGAGGGACCACCGAUGGCGAAGGCAUCUUACCAGAACGGCUUCGACAGUGAGGAACGAAAGCUGGGGGAGCGAACGGGAUUAGAUACCCCUGUAGUCC
rnacentral:rRNA from 1 species